rnacentral:ribozyme from 1 species
UGUUUUCUUCUUCUUCUUCAUUUUGAAUUUUUUUUUCUGUUGUUGUUGUUGAGGCUUCAACAACAACCGCUGGAGGAGGACUACUGGGGCAGCAGCAGCAGAGGAGGAGGAAGAAGAAAAGAAAAA